AUGGGCUCAGAGAGGUUAAGAGCUUACCCCAAGCCACUCAGUUUAUGACACAGCCUGGGCUACUCUGGACUCCUGGUUCGGUGCUCUUUGCAUAGCACUCCUUGGUCCAAGUCCAUAGUACUUGCAUAGUACUAUGUGGAGUCCACAUAGUACUCCACCAGUACAUGUGGCGUCUCAGAGCUGGUGGCACUUGGUGCUGCUGACCCCCCUCCAGUCUCUCUUGUGCCUCUCUGCCCUGCUUCCAGCCAUUGAAGCCAUGAAGAAGGCCUACCAGGAAGAGCUGAGCCGAGAGCUGAGCAAAACACGGAGUCUCCAGCAGGGCCCGGAUGGCCUCCGGAAGCAGCACCAGUAAGAUGAUGCGGGGGCCCAACUGCCCACCCUGAUGGUUAUGGGUUGAGGAACUUUGCUGAGGCCCCUUGGCAGCGGACACAUCAGUUUGCCCCUAGCUGAGAUUCCUGCUCCAGUCUCAUGGAUGCAAGAAACAGAAGCAGAAGUUCCUCAAGCAGACCCCAUGCCAGUCCUCACAGACAGUCCUUCAGGCAGCUUCUUGUCUUGGCUGGUCCCAGCCUCCACGCACCUCUUCACCCCUUUAGUCUCCCCUGGAGCUGGGCUGCAGUGUCACUGUUGACCACUAGGCCUCUCUCUACCCCAGAGCACAGUUUUGGAAUGUUGAGGCUUCAGGGGCUUUAAAGAUGGGCCCCUCCAGCCGGGCACAGUGGCUCAUGCCUGUAAUCCCAGCACUCUGGGAGGCUGGGAUCAGGAGUUUGAGACUAGCCUGGCCAACAUGGUGAAACCCCAUCUCUACUAAAAAUACAAGCUAGCUGAAUGUGGUGGCGGGAGCCUGUAAUUCUAGCUACUUGGGAGGCUGAGGCAGGAGAAUUGCUUGAACCCAGGAGGCAGAGGUUGCAGUGAGCCAAGAUUGUGCCAUUGUAUUCCAGCUAAAGCAGCGGCCUCUAGGCUUCUGAGGGUGGGGCUGAAAAUCCAAGGUCUCCCUUAGUACAGACUGUGACGCCCCCAGUGUGGCUUGCAGGCUAGUGGCAGCGGAAGCAUGUGAGAAAUAGCAAGUCCAGCCCCACCCCAACCUACUGAACCAGCGUCUGCAUUUUAACAGGGUGCCCCAGUGAUUCACGUGACCUUCAAAGUCUGAGCAGCCCUGGAGUAGGGCCCAGGGCCCAGGCCUGAGAGAGAGGCCUGGGGCUAAGACUGGC
rnacentral:lncRNA from 1 species